rnacentral:rRNA from 1 species
ACAUAUUUUAGAGCCUAAUUCAUCUCAAUAAAUAAUUAAAAUUACAUUCAAAUCCAAAUUCUUAGUUUUAAUUAAAAAACUCAUCCUCAAAUAAAUUUAUUGUAACCCAUCUCUACUUUUAUAAGCUGCACCUUGAUCUGAUUUUUAAUAUACUCAUAUAUUAAAAUUAUAUAUUUCAAAAAAUAAUUAACAACGACGAUAUACAAGCAAAAUAAAAGUUUUAACAAUCGUGGACUAUCGAUUACAGGACAGAUUCCCCUGAUUGGAAUAAAAAACCGCCAAAUUUUUUGAUUUUAAAGAACAUAACCAACAUUCAUCAGGCUUAAAUUUUUCCACGUCUAGAAUAAUGGGGUAUCUAAUCCCAGUCUAACAUCUAGAUUUCUUAACUUCAUAAACAAAUAAUUACUUAUAUAAAAAAUAGGAUUUCACCCAAUAUUUCCUAAAAUAAAAAUAAAUUAAUAUUAAUUAAAUAUAUACUAGCCGAAAAAAAAUAAUAGUAUUAUUUGUGUAACCGCA